AUGAACGCUGGCGGCGUGCCUAAUACAUGCAAGUCGAGCGAACGGACGAGAAGCUUGCUUCUCUGAUGUUAGCGGCGGACGGGUGGGUAACACGUGGAUAACCUACCUAUAAGACUGGGAUAAUUUCGGGAAACCGGAGCUAAUACCGGAUAAUAUUUUGAACCGCAUGGUUCAAAAGUGAAAGACGGUCUUGCUGUCACUUAUAGAUGGAUCCGCGCUGCAUUAGCUAGUUGGUAAGGUAACGGCUUACCAAGGCAACGAUGCAUAGCCGACCUGAGAGGGUGAUCGGCCACACUGGAACUGAGACACGGUCCAGACUCCUACGGGAGGCAGCAGUAGGGAAUCUUCCGCAAUGGGCGAAAGCCUGACGGAGCAACGCCGCGUGAGUGAUGAAGGUCUUCGGAUCGUAAAACUCUGUUAUUAGGGAAGAACAUAUGUGUAAGUAACUGUGCACAUCUUGACGGUACCUAAUCAGAAAGCCACGGCUAACUACGUG
rnacentral:rRNA from 1 species